GCUUUGCAGACUCGACGGCACGAUUCCAGGCCAGGACUCCGGAAACGGCGACGCAGUAGUCGGAACGAGCAAGCGUCGCUCGCGCCGACGCGCCUUGCUGGCGAGAGCCGCAGUAGCUGUCGGUGACCGCCGGCUCUUUUGUCCGCCGCCGAGGGUUGUGAGCUGAAUGCAGGAGGCCGCCGAAGUCGCUGCGCCGAACUGGCCACAGCAUCACCAUCGCCCGGGGUGACUCGAUCGUAGUCCGGGGCAGCAGCGCAGACGAUGUGCAUGUGACAGCAAGCCAGGGGUGACUCCAAUCACGCUGCGUACACUCAACACACUCGGCAAACACUAAUGUAGUGCAAGGGAGAGGGAUUCUGCAUGCGCAUCGCCCACGUGGUACGAUGUUCAACUCGGCUAGCAAAAGAUCGGGCAGCUACUCAGAUGCUAAGUUCAUGUGAACGAAGCUCGCUUCCUUGAGUCGAACGAGUAAUUUCAAUUCGUGCGAGGCUAAAUAGAAUGAGGGAAGCAACUUGCAACACCUCAACGCCACGGUCCACCAGGUUGUGUCCCUCCACGUGCGACAGGCAGCUUUGUAAAGCCUUAGGCCUAAAGCGUCGCUACCCUGACAACAACCGGCAUCCAAAAACAA
rnacentral:lncRNA from 1 species